rnacentral:rRNA from 1 species
GAUCAUGGCUCAGGAUGAACGCUGGCGGCGUGCUUAACACAUGCAAGUCGAACGAGGAUUUAACGGAAUGCGAUUCGUCAAAUGAAAUUAAAUCCGAGUGGCGGACGGGUGAGUAACGCGUGGAUAACCUGCCUCACACAGGGGGACAACAGCCGGAAACGGCUGCUAAUACCGCAUAACACAAGUAAUUCGCAUGAAUAACUUGCCAAAGAUUUUAUCGGUGUGAGAUGGAUCCGCGU